rnacentral:piRNA from 1 species
UGAGAUUUCAUGAAGCAGCCAAUUUGAA